rnacentral:rRNA from 1 species
CCUACGGGGGGCUGCAGUGGGGAAUAUUGGACAAUGGGGGGAACCCUGAUCCAGCCAUGCCGCGUGUGUGAAGAAGGCCCUCGGGUUGUAAAGCACUUUCAGUGAGGAAGAACGCCUGGUGGUUAAUACCCAUCAGGAAAGACAUCACUCACAGAAGAGGCACCGGCUAACUCCGUGCCAGCAGCCGCGGUAAUACGGAGGGUGCGAGCGUUAAUCGGAAUUACUGGGCGUAAAGCGCGCGUAGGUGGCUUGAUAAGCCGGUUGUGAAAGCCCCGGGCUCAACCUGGGAACGGCAUCCGGAACUGUCAAGCUAGAGUGCAGGAGAGGAAGGUAGAAUUCCCGGUGUAGCGGUGAAAUGCGUAGAGAUCGGGAGGAAUACCAGUGGCGAAGGCGGCCUUCUGGACUGACACUGACACUGAGGUGCGAAAGCGUGGGUAGCAAACAGGAUUAGAUACCCUGGUAGUC